AAAUAUAUAAGUCUUAAGUUCCCAAAAAUAUCCGAAAUAUGAUAAAACCUCUAAAUCCUUAAAUAUCCUUAUGAGAUAUUAUUUUCAAACUUCAAAAAUUCAUAUCUUCUAAUUGGAUUGUUCAAACAUACUCAAAUUUUAUAUAAAGUAUUGAUGUACUUUUAAAAACUACUAUAACAAAUUUCAACUGAAAAUUUCUUGCAAAUCUUAAGAUAUCACCAAAAUCCUAAUAGUA
rnacentral:lncRNA from 1 species